GCAGUAAAUAUUACUGCAUCUUUAAGGUGAGAAUCCUUGACAAUCCUGUGGGGCUUAUAUCUCGUGUUUAUAGUAGUGGUGUCACGAGUAUUAGUGCAGACGUUAAAAUCAGGA
rnacentral:ribozyme from 1 species